UCCGGUUUGACACCGGCAGUCUCGCUAGAGUACUGGCUUGCGCCGAGCAACUAACGACAGGGGUUGCGCUCGUUAAGGGACUUAACCCGACACUUCACAGCACGAGCUGACGACAGCCAUGCAGCACCUGUGCACGUUCCAACCUUGCGGCUGUGGCCCCGCUUUCACGGGGUUAAUCCGUACAUGUCAAGCCCAGGUAAGGUUCUUCGCGUUGCCUCGAAUUAAGCAACAUGCUCCACCGCUUGUGUGAGCCCCCGUCAAUUCAUUUGAGUUUUAGCCUUGCGACCGUACUCCCCAGGCGGUACACUUAUCGUUUUUACUGCGACUGAUACGGCGUCAAAACCGCACCAGUCUAGUGUACAUCGUUUACGGCGUGGACUAC
rnacentral:misc_RNA from 1 species